GCUCCUGUGUCCUCGCGCGAACGUGUCGCGGCAGCUGCAAAGUUUCGGAUUCGACGGAACUUCAAACUUGGUCUCAACUGACUUCUAGCUUACUUAGACCAUCGAGUACACAUUUUGGGAACUGCCCCGGUAUUAACGGAACGAAAUGGACCAGCGGAGCGCGUGGCCUCUCGUGCUUGUGGCGCCAUCUGGCAGACGCCGUGCUAUCCGGUGUCGCGAGUCGCAGAUGCGCACAACUGAGCCAAAAACUCGGAGGCUGUUCGUGCUCGGCGCCCUACCACUGAGAGCUGACCAACGCUGGCCAUAAGCUUGCAACUUGUGACCGCAUAAUUUUUUUUUUUGCACACUGUAGCGUGCACAGAUGCUUUUAUUCGAAUAUGAACGGUGUUCAAAAUUUAAAUUAUUACUCGCAGUGAGCUCACAGUUUAUUCCAAAUAAAUGUGUUGUGUCGUAGCAGGUGUGCUCCAUUUUCAUACCGACAAAUAUAAAAUUUCUUUCUUGUUC